rnacentral:rRNA from 1 species
GAUGAACGCUGGCGGCGUGCCUAAUACAUGCGAGUCGAGCGAACAGACGAGGAGCUUGCUCCUCUGACGUUAGCGGCGGACGGGUGAGUAACACGUGGAUAACCUACCUAUAAGACUGGGAUAACUUCGGGAAACCGGAGCUAAUACCGGAUAAUAUAUUGAACCGCAUGGUUCAAUAGUGAAAGACGGUUUUGCUGUCACUUAUAGAUGGAUCCGCGCCGCAUUCGCUAGUUGGUAAGGUAACGGCUUACCAAGGCAACGAUGCGUAGCCGACCUGAGAGGGUGAUCGGCCACACUGGAACUGAGACACGGUCCAGACUCCUACGGGAGGCAGCAGUAGGGAAUCUUCCGCAAUGGGCGAAAGCCUGACGGAGCAACGCCGCGUGAGUGAUGAAGGUCUUCGGAUCGUAAAACUCUGUUAUUAGGGAAGAACAAAUGUGUAAGUAACUAUGCACGUCUUGACGGUACCUAAUCAGAAAGCCACGGCUAACUACGUG